rnacentral:rRNA from 1 species
UACGGAGGGGCUAGCGUUGUUCGGAAUUACUGGGCGUAAAGCGCACGUAGGCGGACUGUUAAGUCGGGGGUGAAAUCCUGGGGCUCAACCUCAGAAUUGCCUCCGAUACUGGCAGUCUCGAGUGCGGGAGAGGUGAGUGGAAUUCCCAGUGUAGAGGUGAAAUUCGUAGAUAUUGGGAAGAACACCCGUGGCGAAGGCGGUUCUCUGGGACGGUACUGACGCUGA